GGUGUUUUGAGCCCUCACCGGCGCCUUCCAGGCAGCGGCUGCCUGGAAGGCGCCGGAAGGUGGUCCCGCCCCCCAAAACUCUGAUCCAAUCAAUGCGCUACCCCCACUUGGAGCGGAGCGCAUAUUCAAAUCCACUUUUUGGAGCGCAUUGCAUAUUCAAACCCGCGCAUUUGGAGCCAAACCCACUUGGAGCGCAUUUGGAGCGCAUUUAACCCACUUGGUUCAACAAUUUCAAAGUUCAUGAAGAAAUGGCGCCCAGGAAGGUAGGAUGGAAGCGGAAGGCCCUGCAGGUGUCAAAAGGUGGACCAUCUGCAAAGAUCGCAAUUUUCCACCAGUCACCACUGGUUGGUGGAGCCUCCGCCCCAGCCCCAACCCCAUCUAGCCCUGCUGCUCCAUCCACCCUUCCUGCCCCAUCCGGCCCUGCUGCUCCACCAAGCCCUACUGCCCCAUCCCAGCCGGCAUUUCAGAAUGUCCACAGCCUUUUGAGGACAUGCUCAGGGCAUCGGAGCAAAAGGUGAAGUGCACAGCUAGGCAUAGGUUUCUUCAAGACAGGUUUAUAUUUUUAGUGGUAGUGUGGUAGUAACAGUGCUGAGACCAUUUGUGAUGGGAUCUGGGAAAACCAGUCACAUGGUGAAAUUUGACCUUUUGGAAGCUGACUUCAAGCUUGUUUCAAAUAUGUUUUCAUUAUUUGUCUGUUUCAAAUGUUAUGAUUGUCCAAAGUCAGCUGAUCAGUUAGAUUUCAUGGAAUAGAAUUUUGACAAAAACAACUUUAAAGAGAGGGGUUCUAAAUAGACUGGCUGGUUGAAUAAAGCACAUUUUAACACAUUCAAUUAAUGAAAACAAGUA